rnacentral:lncRNA from 1 species
UACAGAUCCCCACCAGCCAAACAAGCCCCAUAUCAGCGCGGGGUGAGUCCUCCAGUAACUGCAAUUUAUUACAUUUCACAUCAGGAGAUGUCAGAUCAUUAUGUAGUUGAAAGUGCAAUGCUGGUAUACCUCUGUUUCUAUUUUGUUUUAUAUGACAUGUUUCCUUCAAUGGUUUUUGGUAUUGUCUUGUCUAAUCUUGUUAUUUCUUUCUCUGAAUUAGAUCUGCCCAAUAUUUCUGGAUAUUUUCUUUUAAUUUGUGCUGAAAAGAAUCACAUCUUUGUAUGUUUGAAAACUCUAUUGUUUCAAUUUUUUUUACUCUUAGUGACAUGGUCUUAUGAUUAUAGAAAUGUCAUGACAUACUUAAAACCACAAGUUCUCGGUAAAAUUUAGAUAUAUAUGAAAAUAAAUUCUUUCUUUCGUGAACGCUGUACUCAAUCCAAUAAUACUAUGUAAACAGGGAGAAUAAUUUUUGUUUCACUUACUUGCAUGUAAAAGGUGGUGAGUUGGGGUCAAUUGGAAAGACACCUGGAGCACUUGGAGUGCCUGGAUAAAUGAUAGGUGUAGUGGGGGUGGUAGGAGUCGGGGAGUAACCACCCCCUGGAGUGCUUGGAGUUCCGGGGUCAAUGGUAGGAGUAGGUGGUGUUUCAAUGAUUGGAGUAGUUGGGGUAGUAGGUGUAGGGGAAGGAUAGUAACCACCACCCCCUGGAGUGCUUGGAGUACCAGGGUCAACGGUAGGCGUAGGUGGUGUUUCAAUGGUAGGUGUAGAGGGGGUGGUAGGUGUAGGUGUAGGCGAAGGAUAGUAGCCACCACCACCUGGAGUGCUUGGAGUUCCGGGGUCAGCGGUAGGAGUAGGUGGUGUUUCAAUAGUAGGUGCGGAGGGAGUGGAUGGUGUACUAGGGGUACUAGGUGUAGGAGUACUUGGAGUCGGGGAAGGAUAGUAGCCACUUCCACCCCCUGGAGUACUUGGAGUGCCAGGGUCUGGAGUUGGGGUUACAACAGGUGUAGAGGGGGUGGAUGGUGUACUAGGGGUACUAGGUGUUGGAGUACUAGGAGGGCUUCCUCCACCAUGAUGAGCUGGUGGAGAGGGAGAAUAACCACCACCUCCAUGACCGCCUGAUGGAGGAGAUGGGGUAGGGUUAUGGUGAUGAUGAUGCCCUCCACUAGGGGGAGUCGGGUUACCACAGUUACCACCUGGUGGGUUUCCUCCAUGACCACCGCUUCCAUGCGAAGGUGUUCCAUGACCACCUCUUGAACCAUGAGAUGGAGGUGUGUAUGAACCUGUCAAUCAUAAAAAUAUACUAUGAGUGCAAAAUGCUUAUAUAUAAAAGAGGAUUGGAUUUAUAUACAUUGACAAUAGCGCAAAGAACUUUUAUACUGUCCGUAGGUUUUAACUUGUUUAUAGCAUGUAAUAUGUCUUAUUUUCAUGUUAUGGCAUACUGUCCAUAUGUUUUACUGAACUACUAGUAUAUAAUUUAUUUUACUGUAUCAAAGCAUAGAAGUUAGUUGAAACAAUCUGUGAAGUAAAGCUCACGUCUCCAAAUUGCUUUGUUUCUUAAUUUGGUCUCCUUGCCAGUAAUAAUUUUUGCUACUUCCAGCAAUAUUAGCCGACAUUUGGCUCAUAAAGUGUUUAAACAAAUCAUUUUAGCUUUUGCCAAGACUUUAAAGUAGUUAGUAACAAGAAUUCCAUCAUGAAACCAAAAACAACAUAAGUUGUGCGAACUCUGCACUUUCAAUGACACACCCGUAUCGGAUUCUUCAAACAUACACUAUUUUUGAAGAAUCCGACACACACCUAUUGAUAUUUUGAAGAGUACCAGCAACAUAAAAAAAUAACAUAUAGGAUGGAGAUGUGAGGAAAGAAGUUAAAGACCUGAACUUGGAGGAGUUCCGGUAUUCGGAUCAGGAGAGUAAUAGGUCUUUUGUUCUCCAAAAGAAGCUCUAGACAUAACAGGAAUAACGAAGUUUUGUGUGAGCAAUGCACAAACAACAGCCCACAAAAUUACAGAUUUUUGCUUCCCCAUCUUUGUUUGCUUCCAAAGACAAAAAAAUGCAGGGUGAAUAAACAGUGAGAGCAAGGAAGAGUUCAGUGAUGUGAAGUGACGAAACAAAGGAGCUGCAUAUUAUAAAGGGCUAAUGACAGUGAGAGAAGUAAAUAUACGCAGGUAAAGAGUAUGCGGUUAGUUGUGUAUGCUGCAGGUGCAUUUAAGGUGUCAUUUAAAUCUCACUACUGUGCUGUAAGUAAUUACAUGGAGGAAGUCCCUCCAUAACUUUAGGCAAGUUCAAAAUAUGUUCCAUGCCUAUAGUUAGUGGAACUGUGAAAACUCAAAAUCAACACUCACUGGCUAGAAACAACUCCCUUUGGAUACACUGCACGUAAUAUUUAAUGGUGUAUUGGUGAUAUUUCCCCAUGUUACACUACUUAUGAGUGCGACUACUAAAACCUUUUAACGUGAUACAAUUUAGGGUGCCCGUGCAGUACUUAUGUGUGUGACUAUAAAACCCCCUCUAUUUAAGAGUAUUAAAUAUUCUUUUUCAUUUAUUGUUCCUGUUAUGUAAUAUUGGUUUAAAUUAACUAUUGAACUUGUUUCAUAGCUUGUUCUUUUUGAUGAACUUGAUGAUUCUGGUUUUUUAUAAGCUAUUCUUUUUGUUGUACUUAUUCUAUCAUUUAUUAUUUCUAAAUCUUCUUCUAUGUCUAUAUUUCUGUAACUAUAAUCAUUAAUAUCAAUUGUUUUUACGAAUUGUUCAAAAGGACUUUCUAUUUGUAUUUUAUUAAUUUUAUUUUUUCCUAUUAUUUUAUGUUUUGUUGUUAAUACAUAUAGAUUUUUAGAUCUUGCUGUAAAUAUUUUACUUCCUGGGGUUAGUUCUAUUCCUGAUAUUUUCCAAUAUAAUACUAAUGAUUUAUCUAUAUUCUUAUCUGUUAUUGCUACUGAAUAAUUCGCAUUUAUUAUAAAUUAAAAUUUUUGGUAUAUUAAAUUUCCUUUUAUGACAGUUAUUAUACUUUUUUCUAUAGGUUUUAUAAUUCUAUCAUCUGCUAAAUAUAAUUCUAUUGGUGUGUUCCUACUAUAUAUAUUUUUUAUUGUUGGUAUUUUAAAUAUUUUUUCUACACUUAAGUCUAACUCUUUUUCUUUUAUUUCAUCAAAUAUAUUAUUAUCAAAUAUUAUUUUUUGAUCUGUUCCUUCAUCAUUUAAAUAUUCUUCUUUUGUUAUUAUUUUUAUAUCAUCUUCAGUUAUUUUGUUUAUUUGUAUAUCUUCUUCAGUCAUUUAAUUUGUCUAAUUCACUAUCUAUUUCAUUAUCUUCUAUUUCAUUAUCUGUUUCAUUUUCUGAAAUUUCAUAUAUAUGAUCUUCACUUUCUAAUUCGUAAUCUAUAUAAUCUAUCUGCAUAUAUUCUGUAUUUUCUAUUUUUAUUUCUGAUAUUUGUUUAUUUUUUGGGUUUUUAAUGUGACACAAUUUGGGAUUUGCAUAGUCAUAAGUUGCUUAGACUCUUCACUUUCAGUGAUGUAUUUGUGUCACGAUAUGGAUGUGUCACGACCCAAGCCGAGGCCCUGGCUGUGACGGACAUCCCAGACCAUAGAGGCCCGAGAGACCCCUUAGUAUACUAUCAUAAAGAUAAUUCAUUCAACAAAAUGUGGAAGAUAUAAUAAAAUCUUAAAGAAUCUUUUAACUAAACUUUGUCAACAAAGUCAUAACAAAACGACAACCCAAAUCCAGUCUACGAAGCUUCUACUAAUGAUUGUCUGUCCAAGCCGGGACAAGGUCCCCGGCUGGAUGACAAAACUGAAAACAACUAUAAUAGUAUUAAAGACCUUCCGAAAAAUGGAGGUCUUACCAACUCUGAAACCUGAGGAAAUUCUAUUGCUGCGCAGGAUCAUGGGACUGAGCCUCAGAACCUAAAUUAUGAGACAAUGCAACCUUUUAAGGACCGCCACUACUUGAAAUGUAUUGGUAUGCAGAACAAUCGAAAAAUAUCAUUUAUUUAAUAUAUAAAAAUUAAGAACAAUGGGAAAACACUUUAACAUAAUGAAGAUCAAAACACAAGGGCUCUAAAAGCUUCAACAUAUCUCUUAAAGACAUAAUCUUGAAUCUUUUCUAUACUUUUGAGCUAGAUGGCAUCCCAACCUUUCUGCUACCCACGGGCUAUAUGGGUCCGGCGGAAACUUGUCGGUCAAGCCUUCAAUCUGAGUUUACCACAGAGAUUGGACUCUCUAUAUUCUAUUCUAGCAUGCUAGUGUCUGAGGCAAGUAUACAUUGACCAUCCAUAUAUUAUGAUGAUCUUCCCGCGUCGACCAGACAUGGUUUUAGGAUGUAAGCUUUUCAACUCACGCCUUCUCGGUUAACCAUCUAACUCUCUUAAAGACCAUUUUUAACCACUUAAAAUCACACUUAUAAAAGUUGUUAUCAUAUUCUAUUAAGGGUAUUUCAUAAAGAGGUAUCGCCAUAUGUCGACUUGCAAACCAUAUCAUAUCAUAUCAUAUCAUAUCGUAUCCGUAGCCCUUCUUUCAAAAACAUGCAUCAUUGACCACCAUACUAAUUCAUAUAUUAAACAAGAUUUCUUAUUUCCAAAUGGGUAUACAAGUUUAAACAAAACCUUUUUCCCUUUUCAAGACUUAAAUGUUAGGUGGUCAUCUUCUUUUAUAGUUCAUGCACUUUUCAUGAAAAAUAAGAGCAUUUAAACAUACCCAUACUUUCCAUAUUCAUAUCAUCAAACAAUGCAUAAUUUGACAAAGAAGACAUUUGCAACAUCAAUAUUUUCAUUUGUUCAUGUAACACCCCGAUUAUCUGAACAAAAAUGCUACACGGUGCUUAUGACCCCGAGGGACCACGAGCGAAACCAUGCUAAUAUCUGUACCUGUACACUGUAAUAUACAACAUAAUAGUGCGAAAAACAUGAACAUGUAGGCCAUAAGAUUCAACUGAAUAAAAAUCUGUAAAAACAUAAUAUCCAUAUGGGUGAAAGAUACCCAAAAAAACUAAAAACUGAAUCAAAUCUGAACUAAAUCUGAAUACUGAAUUUGAAAACCUCUAAGUACUGUCUGAAUAAGGAGUUGAAGGAAUAUAUCUCCAACUAACUCCAUCUAACAAAACUGAGCUGAAAUAAUAAAUAAAAUAAAAUAAUAUCGUCCUCGAAUAGAUAAGGACUCACUGCAACUCUGCGGCUGGAUGCUGCUGCUGAUUUGGAGCUCGUGUCUCUGAACCUAUAGUGUAACAUGAAAGAAAGAACCAUAGUGCAAAUGCGUCAGAACAACUGGAGUACUGAGUAUACAAGUGAGGUAGGCUAAUGCAAAAGGGUUUACAUGCAUGAACAAUGCUAAUUGACUGACUGAUAUGAACGUGAGAGUGUAAACAUACAUACAUAGUAACUGAUAUCGUGAGUACGUGAUAGCUAGAUAUGCACGCUAAUACAUAGUUUAUUGAUAGCUGACAUGGCUGAAACUGUAGUUCUUAUAACAUGGAUGACUAUAUCUGACAGUCUUAAAUCUGAUGGAACUAUCUGAGUUCUGCACUAUAACUGAAUUUGACUGUAUCUGACAGUCCUAGUAUACUGAUAACUGAAGAACUAUCUGAGUUCUUUUACUGAGACUGAGUCUAAAACUGUAGAAGGUAGCUGUUUAACCAACAUGUCCCAUAUAUGCCAUUAUGGCUAAGCUGGGGUCCAAUCUCUGCCCUGACUGGAAGGGUGUCAAUACCGCGCCACUAGUAAGGACAAUAUGUGAGCAAUCCUCAUAUAAAAGGUAAUUAUAGUGAGAAUGGUGGGAACCCUCAUAUAAUAGGUUAAGCCACCUCAUCUACCCUCAUAUAACAGGCUAUGAUGUCUCAACCUAUGCUAGCUACAUAGUUCUGGAACGCAAGGAUAACUGCUAAGAAUCACACCCUCAUAUACAGGUGAGUUCCCAUCCUUGGGUUAACUCGGUGCUAACUCCUACUCCCAUCUGGAGAGAUUGAACAUGAUUUAACUAACUGUACGUGAGUGGAACUUACUGAAUUCCAUUGACUGACAGAAUACUACUGAUAUCUGAUAACUGACUGAGACCAUGAAGUUUUCUGAGUCACAUGACUGACUGAAUUCUACUGAAUCAUGGCUUGAUUUUGUAUAUCGUGAAACAUGACAUAGCUCUAGGCACACAUCUAUAGUUUUUGGGUAUGAAUACCCCCAGGAAUCGAUGGAAGAAAAUUGACACAACAUGACUGACUUGAUCAUAAGAUUCGAGCCCAUAAUUCACAUUAUCAUAAAUAGGGGAUAUUAUACACCAUGUAGUUCCUCAACUUAUUAAGCAUGGUAGGGAGUGCAUAGCUAUAUUUCAUAUGCAUAUUAUAUAUCUCCAUUAUCACACAUGCUUCAUACCACAAUAAUAGCAACACAUGAAAAGCAUAAAAUUCAUAUUAAAGUAUAUAGCUAACAUGGACUUGUCAUUUAGACAUCGUGGAACCAUAUAAACAUGAAUUUCUAGCAUCCUAAGCAUUUUAUUGAACACCUUGCAUGAAUUCUUUAAGGCAUAGGUGUGUUUCAUAACUUGUACCAUUUUACACUACCUAAAGUUCAUAGUUUUCAACUAACAAGCAUAUACAUUCCAUGAAAACACCUCUAGAUAUAAUCUUGAAACUUAAACAACAAUCAUCAACCUAUACGUGCUUAUAUCACCACCAAAAGUUCACAAAAUAGUAUUUAAAACAUGGUUCUUAAGCUCUAUGAACGGAUUGGAUCCAUAGAUGAACACUACGCAUACCUUAGAAGGAAGAUUCUUGAUGAUUGACGGAGGAAUUUUCUUGAAAUUAGAUCUUCAAGCUUGAUUGUGUAACCCUAGUUGUUUUUCUCCUAUUGUGCUCUUGGAUAAAGAACUUUGAGAUAUUAAUACGGUUGUAAUGUGUUUAGUAGCUAUAAAUUUCGUAAAGUUAAGUUUAGGGACGUGCACGGAGUGUUAAAAUACUUAAUUAUCCCUAAACUAUCUCAAAAACUAAGUGUUUUCGUGGAUGAAAUCAUAAGUGCGCGUCACAUACCACAUCGCACAUGCUAAGAUGUGCUCCACACAUCUUAUCAUACAAGCUGAGGUGUGCAUCGCACAUGCUAUCGCACAACUGAGGUUGUGCGCCGCACAUGCCAUCGCACACUUGGUCCAGUAGCCAUGUGUGAUUUGUUAGGCAUCACACUCCUCUUUGCAAGGCCAUAACUUCAUGCUCGGGUGUCGUAUUUUGGUAAAAUUGGUAUCGUUGGAAAGAUAAUUCGAUUCACUACAAUUUAGUAGGUCUAAAUCUGCCAAAAUAUCACAUAUCAAUGAAGUUAUCCUCGUUCAAAGGUUUCUCUUGUGGAAUCACACACUAAAACUUGAUGGAUUCAAAAGCUAUUAACUUGCAUUACUCUAAGUGACUCAUAUGAGCAUGCUUAACACAUAAUAAUCUAUCUUAUAGAUAGAAUACUCAUUGUAAGUCAUGCACUAAAAUGUGAAUCACAGGAUAGGAGGUUUCAUAUAUAGGAAAACUGGUUCACUUCCUAGCUUAUCAACAUACGAGGUAUUACAAUAUCUCCCCCUUGGGAACAUUCGUCCUCAAAUGAGAAUUUACCGAGAGGACUAUUACCUUGAGCUUGAUCUGAAUUGGCAGAGAAGAGGUGAGGAUACUUGGUACGCAUAUCUGCUUCUGUUUCCCAAGUAGCUCCCUCAUGAGACUAAUUUUGCCAAAGAAUUUUAACUAGAGGGACUUCUUUGUUCCUCAAUCUACGAGUCUGGUAGUCCAAAAUUUUGACUAGAAUCUCUUCGUAAGGAGGUUGUUCUGAAUGUCACUGCUCGGAAUAGGGACUACAACUUUUAGGUCACCUAUACACUUCUUGAUCAAAGAGACAUGGAAGAUGGAUGAAUGGAGGAUAGAUUUGAAGGUAAUUGGAGCUCAUAAGCUACCUUGCCAAAGCAACUGAGAAUCCUGAAGGGACCGACAUAGUAGGACUGAGUUUCCCUUUCUUGCCGAACCUCUUCACUCCCUUCAUGGGAGAGAUCUUAAUAUAGACAUAGUCAUUGACCUCGAACUCGAGAUCCUUCCUAUGAACAUCCACAUACAACUUUUGUCGGCUCUAAGCCACCCCAAGUCUUUCUCUGAUCGACUGAACUUUCACUAAGGCAUCGAACACUAAGUUAGGACCUAUGUCUGAGGCCUCACUAACUUCAAACCAACCAAUUAGAGAUCUACAUCUCCUACCAUAGAGAGCUUCAAAUGGAGCCAUCUGAAUACUGGAAUGAUAGCUAUUGCUGUAUGCAAACUUAAUCAAGGGCAAAUGGUCGUCCCAACUUCCCUUGAAAUCAAUUGUACAUGCACUUAGCAUAUCUUCAAGAGUCUGAAUGGUCCUCUCUGCUUGACCAUCUUUCUAAGGAUGAAAUGUUGUAAUAAGAUGGACUUGGAUACCAAGACCCUUUUGGAAUGCUUUCUAGAAGUGAGAGGUGAACUGGGUACCUCUGUCUGAGAUGAUAGAUAAUGGAACACCGUGUAAUCUGACCAACUCCCUGAUAUAGAGUUUGGCGUAGUCCUCGGCUGAAUAAGAAGUAUGAACUGGAAAAAAAUGGGCUGAUUUGGUCAUUCUGUCUAUAAUGACCCAAACUGAAUCAUGCUGAAGACGAGUUCUAGGCAAACCCAUCACGAAGUCCAUAUUCACUUCUUCCCACUUCCAAGUAGGAAUGGUGAACUCCUGCAUAGAGCCACUAGGUUUUUGAUGCUCUAUCUUAACCUGCUGACAUAUAGAGCUCUUACCUACAAACUUUGCAACAUCUCUCUUCAUCCCACUCCACCAAUAUAUCUCCCACAAGUCGCAGUACAUCUUAGUAGCCCCUGGAUGAAUAGAGUAUCGUGUACCGUGUGCUUCUGCGAGAAUUCGCUGCCUUAAGUCAUCUACACCUAGAACACACAGACGACCAUGACAACGAAGAACACCAUCUCCCCCUUAGUAGAAAACUUCUACCUUCUGAUCCUGAGUAGACUCUUUUAGCUUAACAAGGCUAGGAUCCCUGCCUUGCUUCUCUUUCACCUUGGAAACUAGAGAUGACUCUGAACAUAUACACCACCCUCUGAAGAGUCAACUAAGCGAACACCUAGUUUGGCAAGCUGAUGGAUUUCCUAGGCUAUUUUUUUCUUGCUAUCCUCAACGUGAGAAACACUACCUAUAGAGAGUUUACUGAGAGCAUCAGCCAUAAGUUGGCCUUGCCCGGGUGAUAAAGGACACUCAUGUCAUAAUCCUUUAAGAGCUCUAACCACCUUCUCUGAUGAUGAUUGAGAUCUUUUUGAGAAAAAACAUACUGGAGACUCUUAUGAUCUAUGAAGACAUCUACAUGAACUCCAUAUAAAUAAUGCCUCCAAAUCUUUAAGGCAAAUACUACGGCUGCUAACUCAAGAUCAUGAAUAGGAUAAUUCUUCUCAUGGGACUUUAAAUGUCUAGAGGUGUAGGCUAUGACCUUACCAUGUUGUAUGAGGACAUAACCUAAACCCACUCUAGAUGCAUCACAAUAUACUACAAACCCAUCUGAACCAUCUGGAAGAGCUAGAAUUGGAGCUAAAGUGAGUCGAGUCUUCAAUUCCUGAAAACUCUUGUCGCAUGAAUCUGACCACUGAAACUUGACCUUCUUCUGAGUCACUCUGGACAUGGGAGAUGCAAUAGAAUAAAAUUCCUUGACAAACUGUCUGUAAUAUCUAGCCAAACCUAAGAAACUCCUGAUUUCUGAUAGAGAUAUGAGACGAGGCCCUUUUUUUACUGCUUCGGUCUUCUAAGGAUCUACUCUAACUCCAUCACUGGAAACAAUAUGGCUAAGUAAUGCUACUGAUCUUAGCCAAAAUUGGAACUUACUAAACUUGGCGAAUAAUUGAUGAUCCCUAAGUGUCUGAAGAACAAUCCUAAGAUGGUUUGAAUGAUUACGCUAGGUGCGAGAAUAGACAAGAAUAUCAUCUAUAAAGACUAUGAUGAACAUGUCCAAGUACUGCUUGAACACACGGUUCAUCAAGUCCAUGAAAGAUGUAGGGGCAUUGGUAAGAUAAAAGGACAUAACUAGAAAUUUAAAGUGACUAUACCGAGUACAGAAAGUCAUCUUCGGGAUGUCACAUUCUCCAACUCUGAGCUGAUGAUAGCCUGAUCUGAGGUCUAUCUUGGAUAAAUAACUGGAACCCUAAAGUUGGUCAAACAAGCCAUCUAUUCUAGGAAGUGGAUACUUGUUCUUGAUAGUGACUUUGUUGAGCUGACGGUAAUCAAUACACAUCCUGAGAGAACCGUCUUUUUUGUGCAUGAAUAAGACUGGUUCACCCUAUGGGGACACACUGGGCCUGAUAAAUCCCUGAGAUCCUUUAACUAAUCUUUUAGCUCUUUGAGUUCUGCAGGUGCCAUUCUAAAUGGCAAAAUAGAGAUAGGCUGAGUAUCUGGGAGAAGGUCUAUGCCAAAGUUUAUUUCCCUUUCGAGAGAAAUGCCUGGAAGAUCUUCGGCAAAGACAUCUACAUAUUAUUAACAACUGAAACUGACUCAAGGCUAGGAGAUUCAAAACUAGAAUCUUUAACAUGCACGAAAUGAUACACACACCCCUUAGAAAUAAUUUUCCUUGCUCGAAGGCAGGAAAUAAGAUGACCCUUGAAAGAUGAAGUACUACCCUUCCACUCUAGGAAAAAAUCAUUUGGGAACUGAAAUUGAACUAUUCGGGUCCUGCAAUCGACUGUAGAAUAGUAGGAAUGAAGCCAAUCCAUACCGAGAUUGACAUCAAAAUCAGUCAUUUCUAAUUCAACUAAAUCUACUGAUGUGGAUUUCUGAAAUAUCAUGGGCAGUUCCUUAUACCCGUCAAGCUAUGAUGAUUUUACCCACUGGGGUAGACACUGAAAAGGGCUCUGCUAAAAUUUUGGGACUGAUUCCAAAAUCGCAUGCUAUGUAUGGAGUGAAAAAAGACAAGGAUGCACCUGGAUCUAGCAAAGCAUAAACAUGAACAUGGAAAAUCUGUAACAUACCAGUAACGACAUCAGGAGAAUUUUCCUGAUCCUGUCGGGUCUGAAGAGUAAUCCUCUCUCGAAUAGUUAGUACUCAUAGGCAAAAGUGAGCGGACUUGGUCAUUCUAUCAACAAUAACCCAAAUAGACUCAUACUAGUUUUGGAAAAGCGGAAGUCUGGUAAUAAAAUACAUAUUGAUUAUCUUUCACUUCUACAUCGGUAAAGCUUUGUCUUGGGAGGUACCACCCAGCCUCAAGCGCUCAACCUUAACUUCAUGAUAAGUAUUUAACUUGAUGAUAAUUUAAAUACUUAUCCAUUAAUACUUAUAUUAUUCCACCAAUAUAUCUCCUAUAGGUCAUGAUACAUCUUAGUAGAUCUAAGAUGGACAACAUACCUAGCAACACGCACUUCAGUCAAAUCCUUCCCCACAACCCAUCAACAUCCAAAACACACAAACUCCCUUGAUACCUCAAGAUGCCUUAUCCCUCAACUUCAAAUUCUAUAUCCUUGUGGUGACCAACAUUUUUUAAUUUACAUUAAUAUGGGAUCAUUAGCUUGCUUCUCCUUAACCUCGGCACACAAGGAGAACUUAGACACUUCCUACAUGAUUAAUCUUCUAGCCUAGGAGUCUAAAGAGUCAACCCCCCAAAUUAUAAAGUCGGUGAAUAUAUUUAACUAGGUACCUCUUCUCCUUAUCUACAUGAGAAAGGUUUCCCAUAGAUAACCUAUUAAGAGCAUUAGCAACCACGUUAGCUUUGCUUGGAUAAUAGUGUAGGCUCAUGUCAUAAUUUUUUAAUAGCUCAAGCCACCACCUUUUCAUACGAUUCAGAUCAUUCUGAGUGAAAAUACAUAGUGUAAACUCUUAUGAUCGAUAAAUAUAUCAAAAUGCACCCCAUAAAGAUAAUGACGCCAAAACUUAAGUGCAAACACCACUGCUGCCAACUCUAGAUGGUGGUUGGGAUAGUUUUUCUCAUGGACUUCCAAUUGUCUAGAUGCACAAGCUAGCACCUUACCAUGAUACAUAAGUACACAACCAAGUCCCACCCGAGACACAUCAUAAGACAUAACAAACCCUUAGUGCCUUUGAGGAGGGUAAAAACCAGCGUAGUAGUCAACUUGUCUUUCAAUCUCUCAAAACUUCUUUCACAAGCCUUGGACCAUAAAAAAAUUAUCUUCUUCUGAGUCAACCUGGUAAGUGAAGAAGCUAUAGAUGAAAAACUCUCUAAAAAACUUAUAUAAUAUCCGACCAGACCUAAAAAACUCCAUCUGUCGGUUGGAGUAGUGGGCCUAGGACAUUUCUUCACUACUUUAAUCUUUUGGGGAUCAACCUUAAUCCUUUCACUAGAAACAAUAUCCCCAGAAAAGCUAUUGUACUUAGCUAGAAUUCACACGUAGAAAAUUUUACAUACAACUUUUGGUCCUUAAGUGUCUAAAGUACAAAUCAAAGGUGAUGGGCAUGCUCCUCUUCACUCCUGGAGUAAACUAGAAUAUCAUCAAUAAAAAGUAUGAGAAAUAAGUCCAAAAAUUUCUUAAAUAUCAUGUUAAUAAGAUCCAUAAAGGUUGUAGGUGCAUCAAUCGAUGUAAUACCCCAGGAAAUUUUUCGUUGAAAUUUUGUGCGUAAACGUGUUAGGUUCUAUCUUCUAGAAUGAAUUAUAAAUUUUCCAUGUGGAAUGUCUUAGAUUAUGACCCACCAUUGCGUAGAUUAUUGAAUAAUAUUUCCAAUGAUAUGUGGAUCAUCCAAAACGGACACCCGAGCAACGAGUUAUGAAUAUUUCGAUCGAACCGUGAAUAGUAGUGAAAGGUAAAACGUGCAGGAAAAAGUACUGAGGCCUGACGUAUUUUUCUCCAACUUUAAAAGAUCAUAACUCCUUGUACAUAAUAAUCUGGGUGAUCUACUAUAUAUCAAUGGAAAGCUCUGUGAGUCCUCUUUCCAAUAAAUUGGUUUCAUCCAAUUUGUCUAUCGGAGCAAAAAGUUAUGGUCGAUCUACUUCAGCCUAUCAAAAAUAAAUUUUUGGGACAACUUUAAAUGAUCAUAACAUCUCGUACACAAUGAUUCCGGUGAGAUACUAUAUAUCAAUGGAAAGAUAUGAGAGUCCUUUUUCUAAUAAAAUUUGUUUCAUCCAAUUUGGAUAUCGGAGUAAAACGUUAAGAUUGAUCUACUUCAGACUAUCAAAAUAGUCCACCAAAGGACAGAUUCGAGAAUUAUUUAAUUUUUAGGAGAGUUUUGGUCAUUCUCCCUCACCUAAAAUCCAUCUAAACCCUAUAUUAAAGCCUAUUAGUAGCAUUAUAUGUUAUAUUAAUCUAAAGUUCGUCAUUCAAGGUUUCUGAGGUUUUUCAACAAGAACUCUCUUUCGUUUUUAUGCCCAAAAGAACUUUUCUUUACAAAGGCAUAAUUUUUAUUUGAUUUUUACGAAUUUGAAGCAUGAACCCAUAUCUUAUGAUUAUUAUUAUGAAAUCUUGAUUUUUAUGAUUUUGAAAGAUGAAUUUACAUGUGUGGAGAUAUAAAGCAUGAAUNNNNNNNNNNNNNNNNNNNNNNNNNNNNNNNNNNNNNNNNNNNNNNNNNNNNNNNNNNNNNNNNNNNNNNNNNNNNNNNNNNNNNNNNNNNNNNNNNNNNNNNNNNNNNNNNNNNNNNNNNNNNNNNNNNUGGUUGAUUUUGAUAGAUGGGAAGCAUGAUGGCUCCCGAUGUAUAUUUAUAUAUUACUAAAAUUAUUUUAUUAUGGAUUGUCUUUGAAAUGAUCUGAGCUAAGUCCAGGAGAAAUAUUUAGCACCGAGUGGGAGGUAUAAAGCGACCUUACUUUCCUAGAACUACGUGCCCCCAUAGCAGUGAGCCUGAGGCUGAUUUAUAUAGUGAUCACUAGUUUGUGUAGAUUUGAUAUUGAUAGUCCUACUCCGAUGGCAAGGAUAAGAUGGCUCUCCCCAAAGUGGGUUGUACGUUGUACUCCAUGUAGCUCACAAGGUUUAUGUCGGUUAUAGGAUCUCCAGUGUAUGUGUGUUUCCUUGUGUCUAUGGUGAAUGGUGAAGUGAUUUGAAAGUGGAAUUAUGAAAGUUAUUCUUUUGAAAGAUUUAAAUGAUAUUUACAUUAUGAAAAUUGAUAUUCUUGAUGAACUGAAAGUGAUUGACAGAUUAUAUGAUGACUCACAUGUGUUAUUGUUCUUAUUUCAUCCUUUCAUGAUUAUGAUGAUUUUCUUUGAGCUAUGUGAGUCUUUCAUACAUACUGAAUAUUUCUUAUAAAUAUUUAUGAUGAUGAUGUUUAUACCACUGCAUACACCCUCAUAUACUCAGUUCCUUUCCAGGGUACUGACCCACAUCUUCGGAUGUGGGCUGCAUUUUCUAGGAAUGUAGGUUUAGGUGCUCAGUUUCAGAUUUGACAGUGAUUCUUCGGGCACGCUAUUCUUCAUCCUUUGUUGUGGUGAGUCCUCAUGUUUUGAGGAUGUGAUUUUUGAUGUUGGUUUCACAGACUUAUUUACAUUUGAUAACUGAGUAUGAGUCAGUUGGGGCAUGUCUCAAUGGCUCACUGGUUUUAUUGAUUUUCUUAGAGUCUUGUCAGACUAGUAUAGAUGUUGGGAGUUGACUAAUAAGUCAUAUUUUGUUGUCUUUCUAAAAUUCUUUUAUUCUUUGAUGAUGAUUACUCUAUUGAUAUUUGACGGUUAUUUAUGAAAACCCCAUUGAUUUGUGUUGAACUAAAUGAAAAUGGCUCAAAGGGUUAGCUUGGGGCUACUCGUAGCCUCAAGCACUGUGUGACACUCCGGGACCUAUUUUCUAGGGCGUUACAAACUUGGUAUCAGAGCCUAAGGUUUUAAGGUAUCCUAGGGACUCUAAGAAGCCGCAUUAAGUAGAGUCUUGAUCAUCGGUGUGUAGCGCACCACAUCUAUGAGCAAGAGGCUACAAGUCAUUUUAGGAAAAAGUGUGAUUCUUUCUUUCCCAAGUCUAUUGUUCUUAAAGUGUCUCUCUCUGCUAUUGAUUCAUGCUCUACUCUUUUAUUAAUAUGUCUCUACGUCGAGCGAGAAGAAAUAAUAAUGGUCAUCAACCUCAACCCACUGACCUAUUGAAUUAAAAUGUGUCUGAUGCUAAAUUUUGGGCAACCUUUCAGGCGCUGGCCCAAGCUAUUACUACAAAUAUUUAGACCAACCCGGCCCUGACUCCACAAUAGCAGGGAGGUAAUUCAGCUGCUGCCAGGAUCUGUGACUUCAUGCAGAUGAAUCCGCUAGAAUUCUAUGCAUCCAAGUCUGAAGAGGAUCCACAGUUGUUUUUAGAGGAGGUGCGAAAGAUUACUCAGGUGAUGCAUGUAUCUGAGAAACAUAGUGUGGAGUUGGCUGUGUAUAGGUUGAAAGACCUUGAUUAUGACUAGGUUGUUUCUUGGAGGAAAAGUAGAGGUGAGGGAGCUGUCCCUACAACUUGGCAAGAGUUCCAGGAUGCAUUCCUGGAUAAGUUUUUCCCUUUGGAGAUAAGGGAAGCGAAGGUGGAAGAUUUUAUAAACCUGUGAUAGGGAUCUAUGAUUGUUAGGGAGUAUUGUCUAAAGUUCAACUAUUUGGCCAAGUAUGCUCCUGACUUAAGUGGCUAAUAAUCGGGCUAGUAUGAGUAAGUUUGCGACUAGAGUGUCUAGUUAUGUGGUUAAGAAGUGUAGGUCUGCUAUGUUGAAUAGUGAGAUGAAUCUUUCUAGGCUGAUGACUCAUACCGAAUAGAUUAAGGUAGACAAGAUUAAGGAGAGAGAUAGAAUGAGAGGGAAUAAGAGAGAUAGGUACGAGCAGUACGAACAGGAUCAGACUAGAUCGCAGAGAGGGAGUCACCUUCAGUAUCAGGAUCAUUCGUCUAUGCCAGCACCAUCAUCUACUAGUGCUCUCAUUCCUAGAGGUAGGCAGGAGCAAGGUAGCAGGUCAUAUGCAUCCAUGUCCCAGUACAGUGCUGGCAGUAAGCCAAAUCAUCCCCUGUGUCCCAAGUGUGGUAGGGCUCAUUUGGGUGAGUGUUGGGGUGAGAAGAGGGGUUGUUUCCAGUGUGGUGACAUGGGUCACAGAGUUAGAGAUUGUCCACAAGAUAGAUAAGGGCAUCGUGACUAUCGCCCUCAGACCCAGACUCAGACUGUUAGUGCUCCAGUUCUAGUGAAUCGCCCAGCCCCAGCUCAGGGUGCCUCUUCUAGCAAUGCUGGCGGGCAGCGCUAGAAUAGAUUCUAUGCUUUACUAUCCCACCAGGAAUAGGAGAAAUAUCUCAAUGUUGUGACUGGUAUGUUUCGUAUAUUUCAGUUUGAUGUGUAUGCUUUGUUGGAUCCUGGAUCUAGUUUCUUAUAUGUUACACCUUUGAUUUCUUUGAAUUUUGAAAUGAGUCCUGAGAUUAUUCCUGAGCCUAUCCUAGUUUCUACCCCAGUGGGUGAUUCGAUUAUUGCCCAGAAAGUGUAUAAAAAGUAUCCUAUUACAGUUCUUCAUAGAGUCUUGUUGGCUGAUCUAAUUGAGUUAGACAUGUUAGAUUUUGAUGUAAUUCUGGGUAUGGACUGACUGUAUUCUUCUUAUGCCUAUAUUGAUUGUCGGACCCGAGUGGUCAAGUUUUAGUUUUCGGGUGCAUCCGUGUUUGAGUGGUCUGGGAAUUUUGUGUCACCCAAGAGUUAUUUUAUUUCUUACCUCAAAGCUAGAAAGCUUAUUUCCAAGGGGUGUAUUUACCAUUUGGUUAGCGUCAAAGACACUAAGUCUGAGACUCCAACUCUCCAGUCUAUUAGCGUCAUGAAUAAGUUUUCUGAUAUCUUUCUUGAUAAUCUCCAAGGGAUACCUCCUGAUAGAGAGAUAGAGUUCGGGAUUUAUCUUCUUCCCAAUACUCAGCCUAUUUCUAUUCCUUCUUAUCAUAUGGCCCCUACAAAACUUAAGGAUUUGAAAGAGCAACUCAAAGAUAUACUAGAUAAGGGUUUCAUAAGUCCCAGUGUUUCUCCUUGGGGUGCUCCUGUGUUGUUUGUGAGAAAGAAAGAUGGCUCUUUGCGUAUGUGAAUUGAUUACUGCUAACUAAAUAAAGUUACCAUAAAAAAUAAGUACCCUCUUCCGAGAAUAGAUGAUUUGUUUGACCAAUUGCAAGGUGUAAGUUAUUUCUCAAAGAUAGACCUUCAUUUCGGCUAUUAUCAACUCAAAGUUAGGGAGUGUGACAUCCCGAAAACCGCUUUCCAAACUCGUUAUGGACAUUUUGAGUUUCUUGUUAUGUCUUUUGGGUUAACUAAUGCCCUAGCAGCUUUCAUGGACCUCAUGAAUCGAGUGUUCAGACCAUAUUUGGAUAUGUUUGUCAUAGUNNNNNNNNNNNNNNNNNNNNNNNNNNNNNNNNNNNNNNNNNNNNNNNNNNNNNNNNNNNNNNNNNNNNNNNNNNNNNNNNNNNGAGGGUAUUAGAGUUGAUCCCUAAAAGAGCGAAGCUGUUAGAAAUUGGCCUAGACCUAUUUCUUCGACUGAUAUCCAAAUUUUCUUAGGUUUAGAUAGCUAUUACCUCCAUUUUGUUAAGGGUUUCUCCUUUAUAGCAUCUCCUAUAACUCGGUUGACCCAAAAGAAAGUGAAGUUCUUGUGGUCUGAAUCUUGUGAGAAGAGUUUUCAAGAGUUGAAGACUCGACUCACUUCAGCCCCUGUUUCGACUUUUCCUGAUGGUGUUGCUGGUUUUGUGGUGUAUUAUGAUGCUUUGAGAGUUAGGUUCAGUUGCGUAUUGAUGCAGAAGGGUAAGGUGAUAGCUUAUGCUUCUAGACAGUUGAAACCCCAU